AAAGUGAAAGUGAAGUCUCUCAGUCGUGCCCGACUCUUAGCGACGCCAUGGACUGCAGCCCACCAGGCUCCUCCGUCCAUGGGAUUUUCCAGGCAAGAGUACUGGAGUGGGGUGCCAUUGCCGUCUUCGGUUCUAAUUGAACUACCGAAAUUAGGUCGAAGACUUCCAACAUCUGCUGUUCUUACAAGAAAGAAAGCUACUCUUCACCUCUGAAAUGUACUGUGGUAUUUAUAGUAUUGGCUUGAGAGCACGCCACAGGAGAUAAAAGGAUGUUAGCAUGCAGUUCUUCACUCCAUCACAGUGUGUUCAUGGUGACAUUCAGAUGAACUUGAUUACAGGCUGAUCGGUAGACUGACCUCUGGUUGGGUACAGAAACAGAGGUUUUUCAUUCUGGCAUUAGAGUUUCAUUAUGUUCUGGGAAUGAAGAGCAAUUGAUAUAUUUUUUUUUAACUAUGGGGUUUAUUUUUCUAAAUAUGGGUUGAUUGAUCAGUCAGUUGAUUGGGGAUGCCCUUAAAAGAAAAUUUAAGUUUUCCCACUGUGAACCUUGAAAGAUCAGAGAAGUUCAUUUAUUAAAUUCUCUCCUAGGAGAACAAAACUGCUCUCCCCUGACUCUAUUUAUCUUUGAUUUUUCAGAGAGUCUUGAUUGGUGGUUGUGCCUCAGCUAGAAUUUGUGGGACUUUGGUUGCUAUAUAGUCAGCAUUUAUAAAAUCUGAAGUAUCAUAAAUAAAGUUAUUUAUUUAAUUAUACUACCAGUGUUUUUUACUGGUCUGAUUAUUUGGUGCGUUCAUGAAAGCUGAUGGUGGCAUGAGAGUAAAAUAGGACCCGCGCUCAUCUAGCUGCAGCUGAACAAGUGCUUUGAUAGCUGGCAAGCCUUUCCAUUAGGGUUAUGCUUAAAGGAAGUAAUAGAAUUAUGUUGAUUAUUUUCUUUAUGAAAAUAAACAUGUUCUUCUAAGGAAGUUGAAAAAGUGUGCUGUAGAUGUUGGUGUCAGACAGGUCUGACUAACCUCCCAGUGGUGUAACCCACAGUGAGGUGACCCAGGGCCAAACGCAGGGCUCCUUUCUCCUUUACGGUUCCGUCCUUUGUGGAAGGAAGCCCUGGAGCAAGGACAGACGUGUGUGCCAUUGACCAGUAGAGGCUCACUUUGGAUCCCAUGGUAGCUGAUGUGAACUCUUUUCACAUUUUGCCUUUUUUCUUUUCUUUUUUUUUUAACAGCUUACUUUUCUCAACUUUUUGCUGUCGUUACAAACCAGUUACUAGGCUCAGGGGCCAACAGUAAUUUGCUUAUUGGAGCCAGAUGCAAGGAGUUUUCUAUUCCUUAUCCCAAAUGUUGCCUGUUACAGGAAGUUACUCUCUCUCAGUCAUGUCUUAUAUAAGCCAUGUCUUUUAGGGAUCUUAAAUCACUCAGAACUUUCCAUUUCACUUGAAAUGAGAAACCAUGGCAACAAAAAGGGCAGGAGAUUCCAAAAGGUAUACGUCUCUGAGGGUUUGCUUUACUCUGUGCCAGUAACUUUAGUUGAAAAUGGUUAAUGCAUCUAUUACUCAAGUUCAAGCCCAGAUAUUCAAGUGCUUUGGUUGAUCUGUCCUGGGUAUUUCUAUAUUCUUGUUACUAUUAAUGAUACUGAGGGAGUCCCUAUAACAGGCAGCAUUGCUAACCCAUAUUUUUCUAAUGUUAGAAAAGGGCUUUUCAUCUCCAUUCUUCCUUUCUCCUGCUUACCAAAAUUUUCUAAAGAAUGUCUUUUUACAUCUUGCCCAGUACUCAUAUCAGACAUGGGAGUAUGAUCCUGAGAGUGGAGAUGGGUAAUGAGAGAGAGAAGUCAGCAUGAAGGCCCUUUUGGUACUUGGAACCAAAUAAUACUGACUUUAGUUCUUUCCUGUUGGAUGCCGAAUAGAAAAAUGUACUUACUGAGCCUUUUGAUGCAGUGACUUCUGGCCUCCCUGGGACUGAGGCACCUCGGCCUUGCACUCCCACCAUGAAUUUUUCUGUUUCAUUGUUACUGAUCUCAGCCUGAUGAAAAGGACUUUAAAGAACUGGACUAGCCUUUUUGGUUUUCUAAUACCUCAUGUUUGAUCACUAGCCAGAUAUGAUUUCUUGGAAACGGACUGCAUUUUCUAACUUGCAGUAUGAAGCUAUUGGAGGAUGAAUGGCCAUGUCUCGUGUUACACUGAAUUUUGUGGCAAAUGUAAAGAGGAAAUAGAUUCUACUGGGAAUUAAAAUGAUUGUGUUCCAUUCUUCUUUGGGGGUAGGAGUUGUUUAGCCUGGUCUCCAAAAAAUACAGCUUUUCAUCAUGAUCUUUAUAAACUAAUACUACUCCUUUAUGAACCUGCAUACCCAUAAGUUUUAUAGGGCAAAAGAAAAUGAGGAACCAGUGACUCUGAGGAUGUUACUGGGUAAGAAGCUGAGACAGCUGAGCCAUGUCCUGAGGCAUCUUUCUUAUUUUCUUUGUGUCUACUGCAAAAUGUCACUUUCAUAUCAAAGUGUUUGCAUCUAUUCCUAUCCUAUUAGCUCUUAGAGAGGAAGAGAAAUCAAUUCCAAUCACACUUUACCAUGAUGGAAGAUGUUUCCUCAUGAAAAAAAAUGCCAAUACAGAUUUUUAAAAAUCUAUUCCAAAUGCACUUUUUAAUUUUUUGCUUCUAAAAUGGCUUCUUGGAACCAGGUUUAUUGUAUUUGUACUUCAUUUUUGUUCUCAUCUAAAUGUGCAUUUUCUGACUGUAUAGAAGAAGCUUUGUUAUGUAAUUUAAUAAUAAAUUAGAAAUCUGAAUAGCGUGUCUGUGGUUCUUUGUAUCAAAACAGUACCAUUGAGGCAGUUUGGGAGAGUGAUUAUGACAUCUUUGGUGUUAAUAAGUAUUUCUCACAGCAUUCCGAAACCCAAGGUGAAAUAAUAUGGACACUGGAGCUAUCAAACUAUCAUUCAAAAACAUCAUAGGAACAUUAAUAAUUUAGCCCAAGAAGUGAAGGAGAGUCUCCUAUCAGAGUGAAACUUCAGGAAGUAUGACAGAAAUGUCCAGUUGUGGAAUUUAGCAAGAAAAACAGGUUCUUGCCCUCCCUAAAGAAUGACAUUUUAUCCUAUAGAUCAGGAAUUGGUUCUCUACCCCCAGGAAAUUGAGAAUUCCUCAUUUCCCAUUGCCUCUCCAAACGUUGCCACUCGUGUGUUCUGCAUUCUUUUUAAAAAUAACAGUAAAAUUGAGAUAUAAUUCACAUACCAAAAAAUUCACCCUUUCGAAAUGUACUGGUGGAUGUUAGUAGGUUAGUUGUGCAGUCAGCACUACUGUGUGACUUUAGGACAUUUACAUCACCCUCAGAAGAAACGCGCUCCCCACCAGUAAUGACUCCGCAGCCCCCUGUAUCCCUUUGAUCUGACCACACUGUUUUUCCUUUGUGGGCCACUCCAAAUUUUCCCUCCCAUCCACUCACAUAGCCUCUAAAGCCACCUCUUUGGUUUUUUGACCCUUUUUUUGGCUUCCUAAUGUGUCCAGCCCUGUGAAUGUACACCUAUGUAGACAUACAUAAAAUCCAACACCACUUAGAGAGGGAGGCCUCCCUUUUACAGAUCGACAAAAGAGCACACAGGACUAAGUGCUCAAAGUCAGAGUGGACCGUUAAAAAAGGAUUUGAAUCUUGAGGGCUCUUUUAUUCAAAACCUUGCUGCAGUUCUGUCUUAGUUCUACAAAAUAUGUUUUAACUCAUGAUCAAGAAGCUAUAGAAGAACUACCAAUUUUGCCUGAUUUUACAGGCAAUGCAUUUAAAAUAUUUAAAGCCCAGUGGCUCAUUUUCAAGGAAUGCUAACUACUAGCCAAGUGGUUCAUAAAGGGUUCUCAUUUGUAAGUUAUUAUUUCUUUAUGAGAACUAAUUCACCGAAGUUGUAGGAAAAAAAAUUUUUUUUUAGUGUCUUUGAAUCAAACUUCCUGCCCAUUUCUUCUAGUUUAGAACCUCAGAGGUCUUCCUAGAGACUGAGAGCUGAGGCUGAUCCAGAAAAAGCACCUCAGGACGGUCCUCGGUCAGUGCCACCCAGACCAUGUUGUGUCUUUCCCUUCAGGUGGCGUGGCUUUCACAGUCUGCCAGCUCCUACUUAACCUGAAUGUUCCUUAGGAUCCGAGGUUCUCCCCCAUCAUGACUCCUCUUACCAGAGAUGCUUAGAAGUUUUUUUUAAAAAAAGGGAAUCUCACCAAAGGUGUUAGCUAUAAGGACAUUUUCUCUAAAGCAAGAGCCAUGAGAAAAACAAGUGUAUUCCUCCUCUUUCUGAAGACAGAUUUGCCGACUGAGUUGAAACAGAGAGUAAUACACUUCAGCCUGACACCUUCUGCUCCACUCGGCUAAGAUUUCCCAACUUUGGCAGAGCUGAUGAGCUUGCAAAGCUCUUUAUUACUAACUCUCUGAAGACACUUAAAAGCCAAGAAGAUUGGGAGCUGAAAGGCUGUCAUAACUUUCUGCUUAGAGGAUUCCCAGAGAUCCUCAACAGUGUUCUCAUCAUCCUUGUAAAACUGCCUACUAAUUUGUGAUCCUGAUCUGUGCUAUUCAUUUUCCCUCCUUUGAGAUAUACAGCUCUUUAGGAAACAGUCACUUUCUCUUAAUCAGUAUAUUUCUUUUAGAUUCUCUCAAACAUCCAGUGAAUCUUUUACUGGUGAAACUGCUUACAGUUUGAGGGAGAGCAGGCAACUAUGGUUGGGAGCUCCUUUUAACUCAGUGCCAAGAAAAUACAGUUUAAACAUAAUUAUUUCCUGCAAAGUGACAAGUUCUCUCUUAGUAAAUGUGGCACUUUUUUUUAAAACAGUUCUCCUCAUUAAGGAGAACACACACAGACUUCCCUGGUGGUCCAGUAGUUAAGACUCCAUGCUCCCAAUGCAGGGGGCACAGGUUUGAUCCCUGGUUGGUGUAAUAAGAUCCUGCAUGCUGCCAAAAAAAGAUAACAGUCUGAGAAUACAGCAUUUUGGGGGGUUUUGCCCUGUAUCAGUUCUGAGUCCUCUCCCGAAAUCUGGGGCCCUGUGAUUCAUUUCCAGACCGCACACAGCAGCCACCCUCUAGACAGGUGCCCUGCCUCCCAUCUAACCUCUCUCUGCCCACUCUGCACAUAGCUGCCUAGUUUAUCUUCCUAAACAAGUUCUAAUCUCUCAUCAUUCUGUUCAAGAAUAUUUGGCAGCUUCCUUCCAUCCUUACCAAUGUAUUAUAGCAGAUUAACAUGUGGAGUGUACAUGCAUGCAUGCAUACACACAUCACACAUACAAAAUCCUGUACUCUUAGUGAGGGAGCCUUCUUCUUUUACAUAUAAACAAGCCCAAGAGAUCAGGGUCCUAUAGCCAUCAGCUGCCCUUUGCCUAACCAGAGUUUCCUUCUCUCGCGAGAAUCAUUAGAGCCACCGGUUGCAAUGAUGGAAAGAACAAGGCUUGAAGUCAGAAAUCCUAUAUUCUGGCACUGGAUGUGAUGCUCUCAGACCAAGGGCAAGUCACUAUACCACUCUCAGUUCAGUUUUCUUACCUGCAAAAUGGACUCAAGCAACUUGAUGCAGUUGUUGAGAGCAAAUCUAAGAUAACAGUGGGACGAAAUUGCUCAGAAUGUUUUCAAGAAAUAGUGUGGGCUGCCCAGACAGUAAAGAAUCUGCCUGCAAUGCUAGAGACCUGGGUUCAAUCCCUGGGUCAAUAAGAUCCCCUAGAGAAAGGAAUGGCUACCCACUCCAGUAUUCUUGCCUGGAAAAUCCCAUGGAAGAGGAGCCCAGCAGGCUACAGUCCAUGAGUCACCGAGUCAGACACGACUGAGUGACUUUCACCUUCACUUCACAUAUAUAAAGAUGUUGAUAACAGCAUCGACUGUAAAAGAAAGAUGAAGGUGACCCAUGGCGAGAGAUGCCAAGCGUGGCUUUCCCAACCUGUUUGUGGUAAAGGAUUUGGUAAAUUUUCCUUUCUUGCAGACUUGCUGCUUCCAGCCCUGCUUCGCACCUUGGGACGUGACUUAGGCUUGUAGGUGUUGUUUUGCAGACCCCAGGUACAUAAGAGCUUCAUCCAAGUUCAUGUCUUUUUAACAAAGCAGUAGUGAAUUAAUAAGAAAUGCUUUAUCUUCCUAGACCUCUUUGUGACUCUAUUCUGGUCCUGCUCUUUGCUCCAACCCACUGAUGAGUUCAUAAAAAUUUCACAUAAGUUAAAAUCCAUCUCUCCAGGGGCUGGGUUCUAUCAGAUUAACAUUUAACUCCAAGGAAAUGUGGACAUUUGCCUUAAAGAAGUUCUUUAUCCCAGGGAAGGAUCUAUAUUGUUGUCAUUAUUUGAAUGUCAUUAAUUAUGCUGUGAAACUUUAUUUCAGCCUGAAACUCUGCAUCUUUCUGUUGAAAAUGGCAAAGUUUUAGGAAUCAGUUCAGUGGCUCAGCAUCUAAGCUUUUUGUUAUGCUUUUCCCCUCACAAAAUUAAUGUGUGUUUAUUACAGAAAUAAAGAUCAAGUAGAAAAAUAAAAAUAAAAACUACAUAUUUAUCCCCAACAUUCUGUGAUAAUUGGCUGUUAAUACAUGGAAUGUUUUUCAUUUUUAAAAAUAUCUUAAAACACAUGCAUAUUUUAAAAAUCGGGAUCCAAUGGUAUGUAUUAUCUUGUGGCCAGGUUUUUUCAUGCAAUACAGCAUAUAGAGCCUCCAAUGUCAUUAAAUUUUCAGCCACAGCA